UCUAAAAUGGCAGAAAAGUGCAAUGGAUUUAAGCUCCAUACAUGAAGAUUAUAUCUUCUUUUAGAAA
rnacentral:tRNA from 1 species